GCCUGUUAAAGGGAGAUAUGUCAACAUUUUUCUACCUGGGAACAGGAAAAACUCACUCUGUGUAAAGUCGAGGUGUUUGCAGACUAAGUGAUGAGCAACGAGAUGAAGUUACACCUCAGUCCAUUCAUCCCUGAAGCAAAAAAACUAACAA